GAUGAACGCUGGCGGCGUGCCUAAUACAUGCAAGUCGAGCGAACGGACGAGAAGCUUGCUUCUCUGUUGUUAGCGGCGGACGGGUGAGUAACACGUGGAUAACCUACCUAUAAGACUGGGAUAACUUCGGGAAACCGUAGCUAAUACCGGAUAAUAUUUUGAACCGCAUGGUUCAAAAGUGAAAGACGGUCUUGCUGUCACUUAUAGAUGGAUCCGCGCUGCAUUAGCUAGUUGGUAAGGUAACGGCUUACCAAGGCAACGAUGCAUAGCCGACCUGAGAGGGGGGUCGGUCACGCAGGAGCUGAGACAGGGGGCAGAAGCCUGAGGGAGGCAGCAGUAGGGAAUCUUCCGCAAUGGGCGAAAGCCUGACGGAGCAACGCGGCGUGAGUGAUGAAGGUCUUCGGAUCGUAAAACUCUGUUAUUAGGGAAGAACAUAUGUGUAAGUAACUGUGCACAUCUUGACGGUACCUAAUCAGAAAGCCACGGCUAACUACGU
rnacentral:rRNA from 1 species